AUACGGAGGAUCCGAGCGUUAUCCGGAUUUAUUGGGUUUAAAGGGAGCGUAGGCGGAGGAUCAAGUCAGCUGUGAAAUGUAGAUGCUCAACAUCUGCACUGCAGUUGAAACUGGUUCCCUUGAGUGCGUAAGAGGCAGGCGGAAUUCGUCGUGGAGCGGUGAAGUGCUUAGAUAUGACGAAGAACUCCGAUCGCGAAGGCAGCUUGCCGGGCCGCGACUGACGCUGAAGCUCGAAGGUGCGGGUAUCGAACAGGAUUAGAUUCCCUGGUAGUCCGCACAGUAAACGAUGGAUACUCGCUGUCGGCGAUAUAUGGUCGGUGGCCAAGCGAAAGCGUUAAGUAUCCCACCUGGGGAGUACGCCGGCAACGGUGAAACUCAAAUGAAUUGACGGGG
rnacentral:rRNA from 1 species